rnacentral:lncRNA from 10 species
CUUUGUUGCCCAGGCUGGCCUAUUCCAGGAUUUGACUUUGCAGUUGAUUCCCUAGACAUGUGAAGAUCUGAGUCUAAUCAAAGAUAAUUCAGAGAUCGUCAGGGUAACAUGCAAGGACUGGAAAGGGGUCUCCAGUCACCUCUCAUGAGGAGACGCGUCCCACUGCCUCAUUGAGGUGGCCUCAGGGUGAAGAAUCAGGACCCACCUGGUGCAACGAAUAAACCCAGACUCUCAGCAUCGCGAGGAGAAAAAGUCUUGCAACACCGUGGCGACCAAGUAACUCUGUGCACAUACUAAGCUGACGGCGAUGCUGCUGUGUGAGGAUGCCCUUUGAGAAUCCCUGCUACAAAGCCCCUGCCAGUGGAGUGGCAUUGCUGUGUGGUGGCCUUGCACUGCGGAUUGCCCACCGGAGGGAUGCUGUGUGAGCACUGGCUGUGUCACCCUGCCACUGUGUCUCUGCUUCCCUGGAAACAUGCGUUUCUCCACUUUCAGGCAGAAGCACCAACUGCUCCUGUGAAUUAAUAUGCUCAUUUAAUGCUCAUUACAUUUAAAUUUUGUCAUUGAAAGGGCUCAUUUUCCCAUACUGGACCGUGGCCCUCUCCCUGCUCACUUCUUUAGAAUAAAGAAGAGCAUGAGGCUGGUGAAGGGGACUGAUGCAUUAUUGCACUGGCUCUGUCUGUGGUGACAGGCUCACAAAAAUACUGUCACCAUGGUAUUUCUCAGCAUUUGCUACAUAGGAGGUUUUUCAUACUUCAGGAAACAUAUUUACCAUUUUAAAACCAAAGACAUCAGGGUCCCAUCAACAUCUGUGAUUUAGCUGUUACUAAACAUUGUAAAUCUAUCAGUGUCUUGUUCCUUGGAAGUAGAACACCUACCACUGGACUCCCUUUACUCUAAUUAACCAAAGGCACCCCACAUGAGUGGUUAAUAACUGGUUG